rnacentral:lncRNA from 1 species
AUGGCUCGCGCCUCGUUCGCGCGCGCAUUGUGAGCAUUCAAGUUUCGUUUUUUGCACUUGCGUAGAAGCUGAAAUUGCGGACAUUGCGGUGUGCUAAGCUUGCCAU